AGUUGAGGAAUUUAACAGAAGAAUUGCUCGAGAAAUGAAAAAUCUCCCCAACAAGAAUCUCGAUGACUUGUAGGAUCUCAUGAAAAUUUAUAAAAAAAUAAAGUUUGGUGUGAGAAAAUUA